GGGGAUAUAUCUCAGUCGGUAGAGGGCUAUAAUUUCCUGAUGUUAUUUCAUUAAAUAGAUGGUUCAUUCUUUUGGUUUAUAACUCCUGCCUUGCAUGCACAUACGCCCUGGGUUCAAUCCCCAGUACCACCA
rnacentral:tRNA from 1 species